GGACCAUCUCCCAACCCUAAAUACUCCCUAGUGACCGAUAGUGAACCAGUACCGUGAGGGAAAGGUGAAAAGCACCCCGGGAGGGGAGUGAAAUAGAACCUGAAACCGUGUGCCUACAACAAGUUCGAGCCCGUUAAUGGGUGAGAGCGUGCCUUUUGUAGAAUGAACCGGCGAGUUACGUUAUGAUGCGAGGUUAAGUUGAAGAGACGGAGCCGUAGGGAAACCGAGUCUGAAUAGGGCGCCUUAGUAUCAUGACGUAGACCCGAAACCAUGUGACCUACCCAUGAGCAGGUUGAAGGUGCGGUAAGACGCACUGGAGGACCGAACCAGGGCACGUUGAAAAGUGCUUGGAUGACUUGUGGGUAGCGGAGAAAUUCCAAACGAACUUGGAGAUAGCUGGUUCUCUCCGAAAUAGCUUUAGGGCUAGCGUCGACAUUAGAGAUUCUUGGAGGUAGAGCACUGUUUGGGUGAGGGGUCCAUCCCGGAUUACCAAUCUCAGAUAAACUCCGAAUGCCAAUGAAUUAUGGUCGGCAGUCAGACUGCGAGUGCUAAGAUCCGUAGUCGAAAGGGAAACAGCCCAGACCACCAGCUAAGGUCCCAAAAUAAUUGUUAAGUGGAAAAGGAUGUGGGGUUGCACAGACAACUAGGAUGUUAGCUUAGAAGCAGCUAUUCAUUCAAAGAGUGCGUAAUAGCUCACUAGUCGAGUGACCCUGCGCCGAAAAUGUACCGGGGCUAAAACAAUUUACCGAAGCUGUGGAUACCUUUAUAGGUAUGGUAGGAGAGCGUUCUAUGUGUGAUGAAGGUGUACCGUGAGGAGUGCUGGAACGCAUAGAAGUGAGAAUGCCGGUAUGAGUAGCGAAAGACAGGUGAGAAUCCUGUCCACCGUAAGACUAAGGUUUCCAGGGGAAGGCUCGUCCGCCCUGGGUUAGUCGGGACCUAAGGAGAGACCGAAAGGUGUAUCCGAUGGACAACAGGUUGAUAUUCCUGUACUAGAGUAUGUAGUGAUGGAGGGACGCAGUAGGCUAACUAAAGCAGACGAUUGGAAGAGUCUGUCUAAGCAGUGAGGUGUGAAUUGAGUCAAAUGCUUAAUUCUAUAACAUUGAGCUGUGAUGGGGAGCGAAGUUUAGUAGCGAAGUUAGUGACGUCACACUGCCAAGAAAAGCUUCUAGCGUUUAAACAUACUCUACCCGUACCGCAAACCGACACAGGUAGUCGAGGCGAGUAGCCUCAGGUGAGCGAGAGAACUCUCGUUAAGGAACUCGGCAAAAUGACCCCGUAACUUCGGGAGAAGGGGUGCUGACUUUAAGUCAGCCGCAGUGAAUAGGCCCAAGCAACUGUUUAUCAAAAACACAGCUCUCUGCUAAAUCGUAAGAUGAUGUAUAGGGGGUGACGCCUGCCCGGUGCUGGAAGGUUAAGAGGAGUGCUUAGCGUAAGCGAAGGUAUGAAUUGAAGCCCCAGUAAACGGCGGCCGUAACUAUAACGGUCCUAAGGUAGCGAAAUUCCUUGUCGGGUAAGUUCCGACCCGCACGAAAGGCGUAAUGAUUUGGGCACUGUCUCAACGAGAGACUCGGUGAAAUUUUAGUACCUGUGAAGAUGCAGGUUACCCGCGACAGGACGGAAAGACCCCAUGGAGCUUUACUGCAGUUUGAUAUUGAGUGUCUGUACCACAUGUACAGGAUAGGUAGGAGUCUAAGAGAUCGGGACACCAGUUUCGAAGGAGACGCUGUUGGGAUACUACCCUUGUGUUAUGGCCACUCUAACCCAGAUAGGUGAUCCCUAUCGGAGACAGUGUCUGACGGGCAGUUUGACUGGGGCGGUCGCCUCCUAAAAGGUAACGGAGGCGCCCAAAGGUUCCCUCAGAAUGGUUGGAAAUCAUUCGCAGAGUGUAAAGGUAUAAGGGAGCUUGACUGCGAGAGCUACAACUCGAGCAGGGACGAAAGUCGGGCUUAGUGAUCCGGUGGUUCCGUAUGGAAGGGCCAUCGCUCAACGGAUAAAAGCUACCCUGGGGAUAACAGGCUUAUCUCCCCCAAGAGUUCACAUCGACGGGGAGGUUUGGCACCUCGAUGUCGGCUCGUCGCAUCCUGGGGCUGUAGUCGGUCCCAAGGGUUGGGCUGGUCGCCCAUUAAAGCGGCACGCGAGCUGGGUUCAGAACGUCGUGAGACAGUUCGGUCCCUAUCCGUCGCGGGCGUAGGAAAUUUGAGAGGAUCUGCUCCUAGUACGAGAGGACCAGAGUGGACUUACCGCUGGUGUACCAGUUGUCUUGCCAAAGGCAUCGCUGGGUAGCUAUGUAGGGAAGGGAUAAACGCUGAAAGCAUCUAAGUGUGAAACCCACCUCAAGAUGAGAUUUCCCAUGAUUAUAUAUCAGUAAGAGCCCUGAGAGAUGAUCAGGUAGAUAGGUUAGAAGUGGAAGUGUGGCGACACAUGUAGCGGACUAAUACUAAUAGCUCGAGGACUUAUCCAA
rnacentral:rRNA from 1 species